UGCGUAGGCGGAUCAAUAAGUCAGUGGUGAAAUCUCUCGGCUCAACCGGGAAACUGCCAUUGAUACUGUUGAUCUUGAGUUCGGUUGAGGUAGGCGGAAUGUGUAAUGUAGCGGUGAAAUGCUUAGAUAUUACACAGAACACCAAUUGCGUAGGCAGCUUACUAGACCGACACUGACGCUGAGGCACGAAAGCGUGGGGAGCGAACGGGAUUAGAUACCCUGGUAGUC
rnacentral:rRNA from 1 species